GACGAACCGAGCGAACGUUGUUCGGAAUUACUGGGCGUAAAGCGCACGUAGGCGGUCAGGCAAGUCGGGUGUGAAAGCCCUGGGCUCAACCUGGGAAUUGCAUUCGAAACUAUCUGACUCGAGUAUGGGAGAGGGAAGCGGAAUUUCCGGUGUAGCGGUGAAAUGCGUAGAUAUCGGAAGGAACACCAGUGGCGAAGGCGGCUUCCUGGACUAAUACUGACGCUGAGGUGCGAAAGCGUGGGGAGCAAACAGG
rnacentral:rRNA from 1 species